ACUCGCCUUACUCAUGUUGCAGUCUGAGGCACGCAGUUCCAGUUUGUUUUUAACCAUAUCUGUUUUUGGAUGCAUUUGAUUGCUUUUUUCCCACCUGUUUGUGUCAUAUCUCCCUCACCAGCCUUUUCCUGCAUUACUUUCAACAAAAGAUGUUGCAGUAAAGAGCCCAAAGAUCUGGUGCUGUCCCCCGCUUCUUAUUCACACGCCAUUGCACAACGUGUCGACAGGUGUAACACACACAAACGGGUUACAUAUGCAUUUGAGGAGAAGCUGAUUACAAAGAUCUAGUCUGGUUAAAUAUUACAGUUGAUCUUUCAGUUUCAUUUCUUGGUCAUGGAUGAUUUUGUAAGAAACAAACUGAUUGAAUGGCAGCUAAGUGAGUUGGAGGAACGAUUUGAAGAUAACAAAAUUACAGAGGAAAGCCUUUUCUGUCUUACUGAAAAUGACAUCACUGAGCUAAUCCGUUUAGUUGGUCCAAGGGCAAGAUUCAGAUGCAGACUUGAGCAGUUAAAG